UACGUAGGGUGCAAGCGUUGUCCGGAAUUAUUGGGCGUAAAGAGCUUGUAGGCGGUUUGUCGCGUCUGCUGUGAAAUUGCGGGGCUCAACCCCGAACUUGCAGUGGGUACGGGCAGACUAGAGUGUGGUAGGGGAGACUGGAAUUCCUGGUGUAGCGGUGAAAUGCGCAGAUAUCAGGAGGAACACCGAUGGCGAAGGCAGGUCUCUGGGCCAUAACUGACGCUGAGAAGCGAAAGCAUGGGGAGCGAACAGG
rnacentral:rRNA from 1 species